rnacentral:rRNA from 1 species
UGGGGAAUAUUGGACAAUGGGGGCAACCCUGAUCCAGCCAUGCCGCGUGUGUGAAGAAGGCCUUUUGGUUGUAAAGCACUUUAAGCAGGGAGGAGAGGCUAAUGGUUAAUGCCCAUUAGAUUAGACGUUACCUGCAGAAUAAGCACCGGCUAACUCUGUGCCAGCAGCCGCGGUAAUACAGAGGGUGCGAGCGUUAAUCGGAAUUACUGGGCGUAAAGCGAGUGUAGGUGGCUCAUUAAGUCACAUGUGAAAUCCCCGGGCUUAACCUGGGAACUGCAUGUGAUACUGGUGGUGCUAGAAUAUGUGAGAGGGAAGUAGAAUUCCCAGGUGUAGCGGUGAAAUGCGUAGAGAUCUGGAGGAAUACCGAUGGCGAAGGCAGCUUCCUGGCAUAAUAUUGACACUGAGAUUCGAAAGCGUGGGUAGCAAAACAGGAUUAGAUACCCUGGUAGUCCACGCCGUAAAACGAUGUCUACUAGCCGUUGGGGUCCUUGAGACUUUAGUGGCGCAGUUAACGCGAUAAGUAGACCGCCU